rnacentral:rRNA from 1 species
UACGGGGGGGAAGCAGUCGUUGUCGGAUUUACUGGGCGUAAAGGGCGCGUAGGCGGUCGUGACAAGUCACUUGUGAAAUCUCCGGGCUUAACUCGGAACGGUCAAGUGAUACUGUCGGACUAGAGUACAGAAGGGGCAACUGGAAUUCUCGGUGUAGCGGUGAAAUGCGUAGAUAUCGAGAGGAACACCUGCGGCGAAGGCGGGUUGCUGGGCUGAUACUGACGCUGAGGCGCGGAAAGCCAGGGGAGCGAACGGGAUUAGAACCGUAC